rnacentral:rRNA from 1 species
GACGAACGCUGGCGGCGCGCUUAAUACAUGCAAGUCGAGCGAGAACCAGGCCUUCGGGCCUGGGGAAAGCGGCGAACGGGUGAGUAACACGUGGGUAAUCUGCCCUCGGCACUGGGAUAGCCCGGGGAAACCCGGAUUAAUACCGGAUAGCCUUUCGAGCCUUCGGGCUCGUCAGAAAAGGUGGCUUCGGCUUCCGGCUGAGGAUGAGCCCGCGGCGGAUUAGCGUGUUGGUGAGGUAAUGGCUCACCAAGGCUCCGAUCCGUAGCUGGUCUGAGAGGACGGUCAGCCACACUGGGACUGAGGCACGGGCCAGACUCCUACGGGAGGCAGCAGUAGGGAAUCUUGCGCAAUGGGCGAAAGCCUGACGCAGCGAGGCCGCGUGCGGGAAGAAGGCCUUCGGGUUGUAAACCGCUUUCAGGAGGGACGAAGCCACUCGGGUUAAUAGCCCAGAGGGUGACGGUACCCGCAGAAUAAGCCCCGGCUAACUUCGUGCCAGCAGCCGCGGUAAUAC